GCUCCGCUACAAACUAUUUGGGAUAGGAGGUUAAAAAUCCCCCUGCAGAUGCGGGAGACAGAAAAGACACGGGUUCGAUCUCUGGGUUGGAAAGAUCCUCUUGAAGAGGCUUCCCUGGUGGCUCAAACGAGAGCUUGACAACCCACUCCAGUAGUCUUGCUGGAGAAUCCCAUGGACAGAGGAGCCUGGAGGGCUAACGUCCAUAGGUCGCAAAGAGUAGGACACGACUGAAGCGACUUAGCACGCUCCCUGCAAUGCGGCAUAGACUGGCCCUUAGAUUCUUUGCCAACUGUGGAGUCUCUCAAACUUUUCAUCCAAGUCCACGCCCGGAUGUUAGUGCCUGAAGCCACGGUUUUUAGAGGAUUGUUCUUUUCUCCUUUAAUUCCAACAUCCUUGGUUGUAUUACCCUCGUAUUGUAGAAGAGAAAACAAAGGCUUAGAGAAGUUGAGUAAACUUGUUUGAAAUCACAUUUUUUUUUAAGUGGAGAAGAUGGGAUUUGCAUUAAGAACAUCUAGUCCUAUUUAUCAUCAAUAAUCACUUAGGAGGUAAUAGCAGCAACAAGAACAAAAAGAUGAACCUUCACCCCACACACACCCCCCUCGGAAUUUUGUUUUAGUCUGUGGCACUUUCAAGUGCCCAGGCAAUUCUCAUAUGCAGCCGGGAUUGAGAAGCAUUACUCCAAACCAGUAGUUCUCAAAGAACUAGAUGAUCAGUAUAGUUGGAAACUUGUUAGAAAUGUAAAUUUUAGGUCCCACGUGAGACUUAUUGAAUCAGAAACUCUGAGAGUGGGCACAGCAAUCUGUGUUUUCUAUCAGCCCCUCAGGUGAUACUGAUGCCCACUGAGUUUUGAGACCCCUGCUCUAAACCAAGUGACACUAACAAAAUCUCAGGCCUCGGGACCUAUUUGUGUUGACAAGAAGGGUUUGAGCCGGAUGGUCUUGGCUCUAGAUUCUCCCAGGACCCUAUUCCACCCAGCAUUCUGUGAGGCUGAGAUGCCUGCUGCAGAUUCUGGCGCCACGUUACCCGAGUGGCCCAGGAAUCCUAGGUGCAGAGGGAUGGUCCACUCUGUUGCAGCGUGUUACUUCUCCUUCAAGUCGUCUGCGCCCUCCUGAAUAUUCUCCGUCUGCAACAACAGCCCGGUGCGUUUUCCAGGAGCCCCUCGCCCACCUAGAACGACCACACACCAAAGGACAAUAUCACUGCAACACCUUCCGACUUCACACUGCGCCUCACACUGAGCACAGAGGCUCUGGGGCGCCAAGAACACCUUUCUCAUGGCAAAUAUUAUUAGAAUUCAGAUGUCCCUCUCUAAGAAAAAAGGGAGGAGAUGGUCACUAAAGCAUAAAAUCUGGAUAUAUUUUAACGGCUUUUAGGGCUGGACUUUUGGAGCAAAAAGAUUUACUCAUGGCAGACCAUAGCCUCUGUCACAACCAUGAGCUUUGGGCUCUCCAGAGAAAUUUCUGGCUCCUUAAAGAAAAGUUUCACUGACUUGACCUAGUGUCUCAACAUUUUCUGGUCAUGGAUGCUUUUGCGAAGCUAAUGAAUUCUCUGGAUCAGUGCUGCCCCAUAGAACUUUCUGUGGUAAUGGAACUCUUCUACCCUGUGUGGGCCAACACAGUGACACCACAUGGC
ensembl:lncRNA